CGGAGAGAGCUGGGGACGGGAGGGAGGCUGGGAGGGUGAGGGCAGAGCCCGGGCCUGGCUGAGCCCUAGUUGCAGUGGCUCGGGCCGGGACCUGGUGGAGGUAGCAGCAACAGCGACAUGGCUGACUCUGAAGACAAUAUAUAUCAGAGCUCAAAUGCUACCUACGGAGCCUUGAGCAACCCUCACAAUGCUGACCAGGAAGCCCUGCUGGGGAAACUACUUGACUACCCAGCUCCAGGCCUGCAGAGGCCAGAGGACCGAUUCAAUGGCACCUACAUCAUCUUCUUCAGCCUGGGAAUUGGGGGCCUACUGCCCUGGAACUUUUUUGUCACUGCCAAGGAGUACUGGGCAUUUAAACUCCGCAACUGCUCCAGCCUGGCUUCAGGGAAGGACUCUGAGGAUACAGACAUCCUGAACUACUUUGAGAGCUACCUGGCAGUUGCCUCCACUGUGCCCUCCCUGCUAUGCCUUGUGGCCAACUUCCUGCUUGUCAACAGGGUCCAGGUGCAUGUCCGUGUUCUGGCCUCACUGUCCGUCUCGCUGGCCAUCUUUGUGGUUAUGAUUGUGCUGGUGAAGGUGGACACUUCCUCCUGGACCCGAGGCUUCUUCAGUGUCACCAUCGCAUGCAUGGCCAUCGUCAGCGGCUCCUCCACCAUCUUCAAUAGCAGUGUGUAUGGCCUGACUGGCUCCUUCCCCAUGAGGAAUGCCCAGGCGCUGAUAUCAGGAGGAGCCAUGGGAGGGACAGUCAGCGCUGUGGCCUCACUGGUGGACCUGGCAGCAUCCAGUGACGUUAGGGACAGCGCCCUCGCCUUCUUUCUCACUGCAGCAGUCUUCCUUGGUCUCUGUGCGGGGUUCUACCUACUGCUGUCCCGGCUGGAGUAUGCCAGGUAUUACAUGAGGCCAGUUGUCCCAGUCCACGUGUUUUCUGGUGAAGAGCACCCAUCACAGGACACUCCCAGCACCUCCUCAGUGGCCCCUGGGUCCAGAGUGGUACACACACCACCCCUCGGACCUAUCCUGAAGAAGACAGCCGGCCUUGGGUUCUGUACUGUUUUCAUCUACUUUAUCACUGCCCUCAUCUUCCCUGCCAUCUCCACCAACAUCCAGUCCAUGCACAAGGGCACUGGCUCUCCAUGGACUGCCAAGUUCUUCGUGCCCCUCACUGUCUUCCUCCUUUUCAACUUUGCUGACCUCUGUGGCCGACAGGUCACAGCCUGGAUCCAGGUGCCGGGUCCUAGGAGCAAGGUGCUCCCUGCACUGGCACUGCUGCGUGUCUGCCUCGUGCCUCUCUUCCUGCUCUGUAAUUACCAGCCUCGAUCACACCUGACCGUGGUGCUGUUCCAGUCUGACAUCUACCCUGUGCUCUUCACCUGCCUGCUGGGGCUCAGUAAUGGCUACCUGAGCACACUGGUGCUCAUCUACGGGCCCAAGAUCGUGCCCCGGGAGCUGGCUGAGGCCACGGGCGUAGUGAUGUCUUUCUACAUGUCUGUGGGCCUGAUGCUGGGUUCAGCCUGUGCAGCCCUGCUUGUACACCUUAUCUAGGAGGAGCAUCGAGGACAUAGCGUUCUCAUGAAUGGGAUCAGCGGCUGUAUGAAAGAGGUCCAAGAGCGCUCCCAUCCCUUCCAGUGAGAACCAUGGAUGAAGAAUGUCAACAGUGAAGUGGGGAGCAGACACUAGGAUGAAACCCCCACAACCUCGGCGUUGGACUUCCUGGCCUCCAGAACUUGUAUCUGUGUUAAUUCACAGGAAGAGGAUGAAGUUCUAUUGUGUUGACACAGGAGGUUCAACAGCACUGGGAACAGUCCCUGGUGCCAUCCUGGUAUUUGUGUGUGCAGCAGAAAGCCGGAAGUGGUUCCACCUGAUCCCCUCUGUCCCACAUCUCCCCUGUGGGAGGGGUCAUUGCUCAGUGAGGGGGGAAAGCCAGUGGGUGGAAGAUGUGAGCCACUGACUUCAUCACACGUGGUGUGGUCCCUCCUAAGUAGAACCUAGAUCUCCUGCACUUCCUCAGCCCAUGCACCAUUACCCACAUCUUACUGCAUGUGUAAACCCUUCCCCAACAUCUUUGGACACACCUCUGGAAACAGACUCCGAUCUGGAAGCUGAGUGGCUUGCCCAAGAAAGUGAGAUGGGAAUAGUGGCUCUCACUUCCUGGGUCCUUGAAGAUGCAGAGGCAGGCGAACAGCUUUGGGCGCCUGUCACAUGCUAGUUUGUUCGUUUGUUGAGACAAUAUCCUAUUCUAGCCCAGGCUGGCCUGGAAUUCAUAGAAAUCCUCCCGCCUCAGCCUCCCAAAUGCUAGGAUGACAGACAUGAGCCACAACAUCUAGCUGGUGCCCAUCAAAUUCUGCGGACCAUCUCAUCUCCUCUGUGCCUGAGGUGGCUCUGAUGCAGAAUAAGGUGGUAUCGGGCUAAGUGAGAUGUCUGUGAUGGACUCACUAGGGUGCCACCCAUAGUUCCCACUCGUUGCACGGAGAAGCUGGAACUUGGACACGAGAACUAGAUUCUCUAACAGCUAUGUCUCUGCACAGAAAGUCAGCAUCUGGUUGUGUCCCAGUGACUCCCGGUCUGAAUCCUAAUUACCCUAGGAGAAACAUUUAGCUUCCUACUCUAGCUCUUCAGCCCCCUCCUUGAAACUCUGUGUUCUCCUCCUACUUCUCUGAGACAGAGCGGGUCUUUUAUUGGCCCCAGGGACUAAUGAUUCUGCAAGCUAGUCCCUGGGAUCUGCCUGUCUCUGCCCCACCCUUCCCCAGAGCUGGGAUUAUAAAUGCACACCAUCAUACCAG